rfam:Vibrio sp. JCM 19236 DNA, contig00036.
GGUUGGUCCUCCCGCAACAAUAGUUCGUGAACUCGGUCAGGUCCGGAAGGAAGCAGCCGCAGCGGAUGACUUGUGUGCCGGGAUGUGGCUGGCCCCA